rnacentral:rRNA from 1 species
AUUGAGACUUCGGUGGAUUUGAUUUAUUUCUAGUGGCGGACGGGUGAGUAACGCGUGGGUAACCUGCCUUAUACAGGGGGAUAACAGUCAGAAAUGGCUGCUAAUACCGCAUAAGCGCACAGAGCCGCAUGGCUCAGUGUGAAAAACUCCGGUGGUAUAAGAUGGACCCGCGUUGGAUUAGCUAGUUGGUGGGGUAACGGCCCACCAAGGCGACGAUCCAUAGCCGGCCUGAGAGGGUGAACGGCCACAUUGGGACUGAGACACGGCCCAGACUCCUACGGGAGGCAGCAGUGGGGAAUAUUGCACAAUGGGGGAAACCCUGAUGCAGCGACGCCGCGUGAAGGAAGAAGUAUCUCGGUAUGUAAACUUCUAUCAGCAGGGAAGAUAGUGACGGUACCUGACUAAGAAGCCCCGGCUAACUACGUGCCAGCAGCCGCGGUAAUACGUAGGGGGCAAGCGUUAUCCGGAUUUACUGGGUGUAAAGGGAGCGUAGACGGUGUGGCAAGUCUGAUGUGAAAGGCAUGGGCUCAACCUGUGGACUGCAUUGGAAACUGUCAUACUUGAGUGCCGGAGGGGUAAGCGGAAUUCCUAGUGUAGCGGUGAAAUGCGUAGAUAUUAGGAGGAACACCAGUGGCGAAGGCGGCUUACUGGACGGUAACUGACGUUGAGG